rnacentral:tRNA from 1 species
AGAGCAGAGGACUGAAAAUCCUCGUGUCGCUGGUUCGAUUCCGGCCGGAACCA